rnacentral:rRNA from 1 species
CCUGCGCGAGAGGUGAAAUUCGUGGACCGCAGGGGGACGCCCUAAAGCGAAAGCAUUUGCCAAGAAUGUCUUCAUUAAUCAAGAACGAAAGUCAGAGGUUCGAAGGCGAUUAGAUACCGCCCUAGUUCUGACCGUAAACUAUGCCAUCUAGCGAUCCGAUGGGGUAUUGUUGCCUUGUCGAGGAGCUUCCCGGAAACGAAAGUCUUUCGGUUCCUGGGGUAGUAUGGUUGCAAAGCUGAAACUUAAAGAAAUUGACGGAAUGGCACCACCAGGAGUGGAGCCUGCGGCUUAAUUUGACUCAACACGGGAAAACUCACCCGGCCCGGACACCGUAAGGAUUGACAGAUUGAAAGCUCUUUCUCGAUUUGGUGGUUGGUGGUGCAUGGCCGUUCUUAGUUGGUGGAGCGAUUUGUCUGGUUUAUUCCGAUAACGAGCGAGACUCUAGCCUGCUAAAUAGUGGCUGGAUUGAUUUUCUUACGAAUAUGUCCAGUCUACUUCUUAGAGGGAUAAGCGGUGUUUAGCCGCACGAGAUUGAGCGAUAACAGGUCUGUGAUGCCCUUAGAUGUUCGGGGCUGCACGCGCGCUACAAUGGAAGAAACAGCUGGCUUGUCCAUUACCGAAAGGUGUUGGUAAACCGUUGAAUAUCUUCCGUGACCGGGAUAGGGAAUUGUAAUUAUUCCCCUUGAACGAGGAAUUCCUAGUAAGUGUGAGUCAUCAGCUCACGCUGAUUACGUCCCUGCCAUUUGUACACACCGCCCGUCGCUGUCCGGGACUGAGCUGUCUCGAGAGGACUGCGGACUGCUAUAUCGUGAUUUUUUUGAUCGCAAUAUUGUGGGAAACAGUCAAUCGCAAUAGCUGA